AGAGUAGACGCAGGCGGUUGCAGAUCGGUGAUAAUCACUGGUUUGAGGAAAGUCCGGACUCCCGAAAGACCAAACUUGCUGGAUAACGUCCAGUGCGAGCGAUCGUGAGGAUAGUGCCACAGAAAGAUACCGCCAAUCAAUUUUAGAUUUUAGAUUUUAAAUUUUGGAUUGAAUCUAAAAUCCAAAAUCCAAAAUCCAAAAUUGUUUGGUAAGGGUGCAAAGGUGCGGUAAGAGCGCACCAGCAGCAUCGAGAGGUGCUGGCUCGGUAAACCCCGGUUGGGAGCAAGGCCGAAGGAACUACGGUUGGUCUUUUACCAGUUCCGCUCAACAAGAGCCGCUAGAGGCGUCUGGUAACAGGCGUCCCAGAUAGAUAACUGCCCUCGCAAGAGAACAGAAUCCGGCUUAUGUGCUGCUCUUAAA
rnacentral:RNase_P_RNA from 1 species